rnacentral:misc_RNA from 1 species
UAGCUCCAAGAUCUUUUUUCUUUUCUUUGGGUCGAAUAAAUAUAGAAUUUCAAUGAAGAAAAGCAAUCAGCCCCUAAGGGCAAGUACAUAGUUUAUUUGGAAAAUUGGAUUACAGUAAAAGGAGGUAUAAUGUAAGGUUUUCCCCGCUAGAGAAAGAGCAAAACCAUUACAAGAUCUCUUUACAUGACUACAAUUAAUAACAUGGAACUCACUUCAAUCACCCCUUGAAUCUGUAGUAGCGGGGGACUCCCUUGGAUGACAAUAAGCACAUCCCCUUCAAUGCUGACUUUUUCUUAGCUAGAAGAAGGGCCUCCCUCGCAUGCAAGUGCUUCCACCACAAAAGGAUCAGUUAUUGCUUUGAGGUGUUUAUAACACCAACCGCAGGGAAUACCUGCAAGAUUGAUUUCACAUUUCACAAGAUGAUCGUUUAACUUUAAGUUAAAACUCAGGCAGCAGUUAUUGAAAGGCAAACAAAAGGAAUGUAUAGACCUACUAUUAACCCUUUAAACUCAACAUUCAUAUUUAGUUGCACAUAGUUUAGAAAUGAACUUAUGAACUGCCUGACAUGGUACACGCCUCAUUCUCAUGGCUCACUGCCUCGACACUCCAUUUUGUUUUAAACCUUCUUUGAAACUCUCUCUUCUUGGACAUGCUGUGUCACGGCCUAGGUGUGAAUUUCCUGUAUUAGCUGAGAAUGCAGUCACUAGAAUGCCAAAAAGUGUCAUGCCUGUCAAAUGUGAAGAGCUUGAGCUCACAAUCAUCCUCUUAACUGCCUGCUCAUAUUCCAUAGGGUCCUCUCAACAUAAGAAAUCAAGGGAUUCACAGCCAAACUCUUUGAAAUCUCCCUGGUAAUCUCUAUUGCAGAUGGUAACCAUGCCUCGCCUUCCUUUCUUAUCUCAUCAGGAAUCAAAAUCAGUAUAAAAAUUUGAAGCAUUACUAUACAUGUUCAGGCUUUUGUGGCUUUACCUCACAUGCCCAAGGGAGUGAAGGUGGAAGAGCUGAUGAGACUUAAUGGAUUUGAAGAGCUUGAUGCAUUAUGAAUUAUGAUUGCUGUUUUGAGAUAGGCUUCAACUUUUGGUGAGAGAUGGCUAUAGUGGUGCCUAGGAGUAAAGAAUGUUGAAUCUUUUCACAAUAAUAAUAGCAUAAUUCAUUUUAAUAUAGCUAGAACCAGAUUGACAUCAAACAUUAUGAAAAAUGUAUACGUUAAGGGGAAAAAAGUGAAUUAUAGUCAUUAUAGAACACAAAAGCAUAAUAGCUCAUUGCAAUUCAAAAAAAAUCAAUCAUAUGAAAGUGCUUACUAGACAUACCUUUAUAAUGCCUGGUAUCUGACACCAUGCUAAGCUCUAAAGAUUGGAAGAUCUGUCAUUUAAUAUGAAAAGACUUCAUUGUGCAUUAUAACUCAACCCACUGAAGCAGCCACAUUAGGAAGAUCAUCAGAACUAGAUGAGUCCACAAAUAGAUUAUCCUCCAAAUAACCCUUCAUUAAUGAAUGAUUUGUGUCACCUAAGUUUAUAUCAUUGGUAAGUCCAUCAAACAAUAGCAGAUGCAUCACCUCAUUAGGCAUCAACAACAAAUUCCAGAGUUUAAUUAAUCGGUUAAAGAAUGAAGAAGACAGAUGAGACUUGAAUAAAACUUUGGUCAACCUGAAAAAUGUAUUGCAAUCCAGCUGAAUCCCUGCCUCAAUUAUUUCUUGUAGCAACAUUUCGAUCACUUUAAUGUCUCUUUUCACACAAAAACCAUAGAGCAUUAUAUUAUACGUACAUACAUUAGGAGACAAACCAACCUCCUUCAUGUGGUUAUACAAAGCAAAAGCUUCUGCAGCCCUUCCACUCUUAAGAAGCCCACAGAUGGCAACUGUAUAUGAUACAGCAUCUAGUGGGUACUUCUCUGAGAUAGCUCUCCUAAAUAAUUUGAUAGCUCUAUUAUACUUACCAUUUUUCAUAAGCCCAUCUAUGAUUGAGGUAUGAACAUGAGCAUCAAGGCCUGUAUAAUUCAUGACCAUCCCUAGGUAUACUUUAACUGCCUCGUCCACUCUCCUUACUCCACAUAACCCUCUAAGUAAUCCAACAAAGCUGUAGUUAUCAGGCAUAAAACCCUUAUCAAUCAUAUCAUUAUACAACUCCAAAGCAAGAUUCGGAAACCCAGCUUUACACAAGUAAUUUAAAAGUGAGUUGCACACCACCAGAUCUGCUUCCACAACAAGUCCUCUAACCAGCUUGGGUAAAAGAUUAAACCUCCUAGAAAAGCAUAUAGUUGACAACAAAGAACUGAAAGUAUAAGAAUCAGGUACCAAUUUCCAUUUUGACAUACCCAGAAAUAGAUCUAGCGCAUCAUCAUAUCUCCCAAUCUUAGACAAACUAUCUAUCAACACAUUACAGAGAAGUAAGUCAGGAGCAUAACCUUUAGAUUCCAUGGUAUUCAACAUAUCAAAUGCACAAGGAAUCAUUUCAGAUUCCAUAAAACCUUUGAAUAAAGUUGUAUAAGUUACAAUAUUAGGAGAACAACCACUCUUAACCAUCUUCUCCAACAACAAAGAUGCAAUAUCAGGUUGAUGCAAUCUACAAAACCCAUAAAUGAGUAUACUCCAAGCAUUGACAGACAAAGAAAUCCCCAGAGUUAUCAUUACACCCAACACUUGAUAUGCCUCCACUAACCUACCCACUUUGCAAAAACAAUUCAAAACCAUCUCAAAUGUCUCGACGUUAGGAUAAUACCCUUCCUUCAGCAUAAUCCGCAAGACAUCCUUAACAUUAACCAAAUCAUUCAACUUGCAUAAAUUACUCAAUAUAAUACUGAAACUCAAGAAAUUUGGAAUCUCUAUCUGUUUCAAAACCUUAAUUCCUGCAUCCACAUGCCCAAUCUUAAACAAAACAUCUAUCACCACAUUAUGUGCAAAUGUAUUCGGUUUAAAACCAAAAUUUCCCAUUUCCUCAAAAGUUUCGAAAACCAUAGAAUACAUUCUUCCACGCCAAUAAAUCCUCAACAAAAGCAAGAAAGUUUGUGCCUUCGUAAGUAAACCAACACUCUCUAAUUCUUUAACUAUUCCUUUAAGUGUCUUGUAACGGUUAGUCAACCGACCAACCACACUAACCAUGUAAUCAAAUGCUUGGUUAUCAUGAAAGUAAUUAUGUUGCUUCGCACACCAAAUAAAAAAGCUCAAAGCAAUCAAAUCAGAACGGCAAUUCACUAAGGUGGAGUGCACAAUCUGAGGUGUGAAAGCAGCUUUAAGAUUUUCUUGAGAAAAAAAAUGGUGGGUCUUGUCAUUCACACUAAUACAUACGAUUGGUGAUGAAGAAAAAUUGCGGACUGAGAGUGGUUUAAGGAUGUAGGUCCUUUUUAGCAAGUGUAACACGCUCAAUUUGUAUCUCCAUAACAUUAUUAGGCUUGCUUAAAUUGAUAAAAGGGCAAUAAAGGGAACAGGUGCAGGAAACCGACGUCUGCUUACAUUCCUAGAGCUUGACGAUGGAGGAGCUCUCCUGCUAGCUGUUGAGAUGGGGCGAAGUGGUGCUGUGGCGUUAAGCAGUGGUUCUCGCAGUGCUCACGGUCGAGACGCGGAGGGGACUCUCAUAGGAAGCCAGGAACCAAGUGUUGCCAGCAAGCGAAUGAAAGAAGAGAGAAUCGCAUAGGCAGGAAGAGAGGAGAAAACGUUAAGUGAGAGAGGACAAGAAGAGGGGGAAG